GUCCGGGUCCUGCGCAAUAAGAAUCUGUGAACCUCGUCAGGUCCGGAAGGAAGCAGCGAUAAGCGGAAGCUCUUAUGUGCCGCAGAGAAGCCUGUUCCGC
rnacentral:SRP_RNA from 1 species